AACAUGACUGGUCUACUAACCACCGGUCCUGGCAACCCAUCAUUACACCUACCUGGCAACCAUCAUUACGAACACCUGGCAACCAUCAUUACACCAACCUGGCAACCAUCAUUACGAACACCUGGCAACCAUCAUUACGCACACCUGCGCCUCAGCAUGAGGCACACAUGGACUUCAUCACUCCGAGAUUACUUCCCCUUUAUCUAGCGCUCCAUUGUAUCACCCAUUAUGUAGUUUUGUUUCCUGUAUUCAUGUUUAGACACUACUCCUGUUUUUGUAUUCAAGCCAAGUUCAUUCCCAUUAAACUCACCGACUGCACCUGCUUCCUGACUCCCUGUGUCUCCGUUACAGAACACUACCUCACAGAAUGAAGGCAGCAGCCAACUGAGAAAUCUCUCAGAUGGUCGGCAAACAGGGGUACCUACUUUGCCAACAACACAACGAGCUGGCGCAACUGGGGAUGACUAUGGAUGAGGUCCUCUGCAUUCUUCAACAUCUUGAUCUUCCUCAAGGGGAAUCACCCCCAACGAACGGUAGUUCUUCUACCACGAGUCUACCCAGUGAGCCAGCACCCCAGCCCAUUUCAAUGUCUGCCCAGGUCAGCGAUGUCCCUUUCUCCCUUCCGAACAAAUGUGACGGGACUCCAUCCAAAUGCCGUGGAUUCCUCCUCCAGUGCUCCCUCUAUUUUGCUCAUCAAACAGGAGCCCCCACCACUGAGAGGUCCAAGGUUACUCCGGUUAUUCUCCGGGCGUUGGAGUGGGCUACGGCUGUCUGGGAGAGAAGAGAGGAGGAACUGGGUUCCUAUGGGAGGUUCAUGGCUCUGGGGGAGGGGGGGGGGUCUACUCUAACUACGGCAGGAGGACCAGACCACUGCAGAGUACACCCUCACCUUCUGUACAGUGGCAGCAUCCACCUUAUUGUGGUCAAGAGGGGCACGAGCUUCAAUGGUUCCCUCUACGUCCCAACCCAGGAGCCACUAGAGCAGAGGGACGGCCCUGUAAUCAUCCGUGUUCAUCCGAGGUAGUCCCCAUAUGUUGGUGUGGAAUCCUGCAGCCGAUGAGGCCUUCCGUCUACUGAAGGGGCUUUUCACCUCUGCCAUGUUGCUGAAACACCCAGAUCCUACACUGCCCUUCAUGGUGUAGGUGGACGCCUCAGAAGUGGCUGUGGGGGCCAUCCUGUCACAACCUCAAGCUCUGUUCCCCAGCUCUGUUCCCCACUUCAGAGCGGUAGGGGUUUCCUUGCCCCGGUUGGCUCAGCAGGCUCCCAUCCCAUGGUAGGCCUCUGCCGGAUCGUCAGGGUUUUACGCCUCAGCCAGAUCAUCAGGCUCCCACGUCUCAGCGAGAUCAUCAGGCUUUCAUGCCUCAACUGGAUCGUCAGGCUUCAACGCUUCAGCUGAUUUGCCAGGCUUCCAAGCCUCUGCCGGUUCGUCGGGCAUCUACGCCCCAGCCGGCUUGUCCAGCACCGAUGCUUCGGGCCGGCCCAUCAGGCUCGCCCUGCUGGGACGCUGGGUGAUGCCCCUAGAGGAGGGUGUUACUGUCACGCCUGCUCCCGCUCUCCCUACCUGGUGCUCGAGGGUGCCAGGGUGCCCAGCACUGCUGAUAUAGUUAUAUGCCUGUCAUAUGGAUGUAUCUAGCUGUAAAUUAAA